GCUACUAUGGCCGAGUGGUUAAGGCGCUGGAGUUUAAGUCUUAGUGGACAAUAGUCCUCCUGGGUUCGAAUCCCAGUAGUAGCA